AAUUCCCGAAGCACCCGUUUGGCACACAGGGCUUGACCGGGCUGCCACUCUCGAUCCCGUGAGCAUCGAGGGUGAGCUCGCGGCUCGCGUGGAACCGGACGAGACGGGAGAGGAAACCGCCGGCGGCGGCUUCCUCUUCUUCCCCGGCAAGCUGAUCUUCUCGCCGGAGCCGCAUUCCCUUCUUUGCUUGGCAAGUUGCAUUUUCCCCGAUAAGGAUGGAGAAGCCCAAACUCAUGGAGUCAUAUUGAAGCAUUGGCCGGCAAGAUAAAGGGAUGACCCAAGUGACAGACACCAGUUGAAUCAACUGUCUCCAUAGCUUCUUAACACCAUAGUUACUACAAUUUAAACUUUGUCUUGGCUAAGUUUCUGUUGGGUUUAACACACAGUAAAAUCUUCUUGAAUAGUAUUGUGGGUUCCUUUUGCAUGAGUUUUAAAUUUUUAUGGCAGUGACAUGCAUGCUUGAGAUGCUAGUUCAAAGUACAUGGCACCUUAGUUAUCAAUAUUGCGAGAUUGAUGUGUCCUUUUAAUUUGGCUGAUUGCUAUUUGUGGGUGUCACUGUUAAUUUGACAUGA